rnacentral:rRNA from 1 species
UGGGGAAUAUUGCACAAUGGAGGGAACUCUGAUGCAGCGACGCCGCGUGAGUGAUGAAGGAAUUCGUUUCGUAAAACUCUGUUCUAUGGGAAGAAAAGGACUGUACCAUAGGAGAAAGCUCCGGCUAAAUACGUGCCAGCAGCCGCGGUAAUACGUAUGGAGCGAGCGUUGUCCGGAAUUAUUGGGCGUAAAGGGUGCGCAGGCGGCUUUACAAGUUGGAUGUGAAAUAUUGUGGCUCAACCACAAACGUGCAUCCAAAACUGCAAAGCUUGAGUUAAGGAGAGGUAAGUGGAAUUCCUGGUGUAGCGGUGGGAUUCGUAGUUAUCAGGAGGAAUACCGGUGGCGAAGGCGACUUACUGGACUUAAACUGACGCUCAGGCACGAAAGCGUGGGGAGCAAACAGG